rnacentral:rRNA from 1 species
UCGAGAAUUUUUCACAAUGGGCGCAAGCCUGAUGGAGCGACGCCGCGUGGGGGAUGAAUGGCUUCGGCCCGUAAACCCCUGUCAUUUGCGAUCAAACCUUAUUAUUUAAAAGAUGAUAAGUUGAUAGUAGCGAAAGAGGAAGGGACGGCUAACUCUGUGCCAGCAGCCGCGGUAAUACAGAGGUCCCAAGCGUUGUUCGGAUUCACUGGGCGUAAAGGGUGCGUAGGUGGUGGGGUAAGUCGGAUGUGAAAGCUCGGAGCUCAACUCCGAAAUGGCAUUGGAAACUACCCUGCUAGAGGAUUGGAGGGGGGACUGGAAUACUUGGUGUAGCAGUGAAAUGCGUAGAUAUCAAGUGGAACACCAGUGGCGAAGGCGAGUCCCUGGACAAUACCUGACACUGAGGCACGAAAGCUAGGGGAGCAAACAGG